UACGUAGGGGGCUAGCGUUGUCCGGAAUCAUUGGGCGUAAAGCGCGUGUAGGCGGUUCGGUAAGUCCGCUGUGAAAGUCGGGGGCUCAACCCUCGAAUGCCGGUGGAUACUGCCGGACUAGAGUACGGAAGAGGCGAGUGGAAUUCCUGGUGUAGCGGUGAAAUGCGCAGAUAUCAGGAGGAACACCAAUUGCGAAGGCAGCUCGCUGGGACGUUACUGACGCUGAGACGCGAAAGCGUGGGGAGCAAACAGG
rnacentral:rRNA from 1 species